rnacentral:rRNA from 1 species
GAUGAACGCUGGCGGCGUGCUUAACACAUGCAAGUCGAACGGAAAGGCUCCUGCUUGCCGGGGUACUCGAGUGGCGAACGGGUGAGUAACACGUGGGUCAUCUGCCCUGCACUUCGGGAUAAGCCUGGGAAACUGGGUCUAAUACCGGAUAGGACCACAUUUUGGAUGGUGUGGUGGAAAGUUUUUCGGUGUGGGAUGAGCUCGCGGCCUAUCAGCUUGUUGGUGGGGUAAUGGCCUACCAAGGCGUCGACGGGUAGCCGGCCUGAGAGGGUGUACGGCCACAUUGGGACUGAGAUACGGCCCAGACUCCUACGGGAGGCAGCAGUGGGGAAUAUUGCACAAUGGGCGCAAGCCUGAUGCAGCGACGCCGCGUGGGGGAUGACGGCCUUCGGGUUGUAAACUCCUUUCGCUAGGGACGAAGCGCAAGUGACGGUACCUGGAGAAGAAGCACCGGCUAACUACGUG